AGGAAUUGGUUGCACAAGACGAGCCUGGUGUCUACAUCACUCUAACACGCUUAGCCGGAGGUGCUAGAGACCUCAAACGUGUCCGUUUCAGCCGAAAAAAGUUUAGUGAGAAACAAGCGGAACAGUGGUGGGCAGAUAACAGAGGGAGAGUUUAUGAACAAUACAAUGUACGAAUCGUUGACAAAUCCAGUGAGGAAAUGCCUCGCUGAAACUCUUUAACCACUUCUCUUAUUUUUCUUCCACGCCCGAGUCAGGUGAGUGCAGGAAUCUCGGGAUAUAACAACAGGUUUAUAACAUAUAUAUAGAGAGAAAAUUAGAUGUUUUUAAAGUGUUGACGUGCUUCUUACGUUGUAGUUUUGGGGGAUUUGUGUGGAUUUUGUUGUGAGAAGGUUUGUAUAUUCUUUGUGAAGAGAAGAGUAUUUGUAAGACAGAUUGAUUAUAAGGAUCAACGUGGCAAAGCAGUGACUGGUUCAAGUGUUU